rnacentral:lncRNA from 1 species
CGACAUCUACCCCCUCCAAACCUGCACAUCCUCCGGUGUGUGCCACAUACUACUCUUCUUCAUCCUCUUGAGACUUCUUGGAAUCACUCAUAGAGUCUUCUUCUUCAUGUUCUUGGUCCAAAUAUUGAGGUAAGAAUUCUUCAAGAUCUUCUAUUUGAAAUUGCCGAUCUCUUCUUUUGAAAGCCUUCACCCUCUUCCC